rnacentral:rRNA from 1 species
GACGAACGCUGGCGGCGUGCUUAACACAUGCAAGUCGAACGGAAAGGCCCUGCUUUUGUGGGGUGCUCGAGUGGCGAACGGGUGAGUAACACGUGAGUAACCUGACCUUGACUUUGGGAUAACUUAAGGAAACUGGGGCUAAUACCGGAUAGGAGCUCCUGCUGCAUGGGGGGGGUUGGAAAGUUUCGGCGGUUGGGGAUGGACUCGCGGCUUAUCAGCUUGUUGGUGGGGUAGUGGCUUACCAAGGCUUUGGCGGGUAGCCGGCCUGAGAGGGUGUCCGGCCACAUUGGGACUGAGAUACGGCCCACACUCCUACGGGAGGCAGCAGUGUGGAAUAUUGCACAAUGGGCGGAAGCCUGAUGCAGCAACGCCGCGUGCGGGAUGACGGCCUUCGGGUUGUAAACCGCUUUCGCCUGUGACGAAGCGUGAGUGACGGUAAUGGGUAAAGAAGCACCGGCUAACUACGUG